rnacentral:rRNA from 1 species
UUUGAGAGAAGGGAUGACACAGUAGGAUAAGCUAAGCACACUGUUGGUUAUGUGUGCCCAAGCAUUGAGGCAGUCAAAGUAGGCAAAUCCGCUUUGAUAAUGCUGGGAUGUGAUGGGGAGCGAAAUUUAGUAGCGAAGUAGCUGAUUUCACACUGUCAAGAAAAGUCUCUAUCGAGGUUAAAGGUACCCGUACCGCAAACCGACACAGGUGGGUGAGGAGAGUAUCCUAAGGCCAGCGAGAGAACUGUUGUUAAGGAACUCGGCAAAAUGACCCCGUAACUUAGGGAUAAGGGGUGCCACCAUCAGGUGGCCGCAGAGAAUAGGCCCAAGCGACUGUUUACCAAAAACAUAGGUUUCUGCUAAGUCGCAAGACGAUGUAUAGGAGCUGACGCCUGCCCGGUGCUGGAAGGUUAAGGGGAUCUGUUAGAGCAAUCGAAGCAGUGAACUUAAGCCCCAGUAAACGGCGGCCGUAACUAUAACGGUCCUAAGGUAGCGAAAUUCCUUGUCGGGUAAGUUCCGACCCGCACGAAAGGCGUAACGAUUUGGGCACUGUCUCAACAACAGACUCGGUGAAAUUGUAAUUCCGGUGAAGAUGCCGGAUACCUGCGACAGGACGGAAAGACCCCAUGGAGCUUUACUGUAGCUUGACAUUGGGUCUUGGUACUACAUGUACAGGAUAGGUGGGAGGCUUUGAAACCAGGACGCCAGUUUUGG